rnacentral:rRNA from 1 species
CACGUAGGGGGCAAGCGUUGUCCGGAAUUACUGGGCGUAAAGCGCGUGUAGGCUGUCUUGCAAGUCGGGUGUGAAAGCCCUGGGCUCAACCUAGGAAGUGCACUCGAAACUGCAGGACUCGAGUCCUGGAGAGGAAGGCGGAAUUCUCGGUGUAGAGGUGAAAUUCGUAGAUAUCGAGAGGAACACCGGUGGCGAAGGCGGCCUUCUGGACAGUGACUGACGCUGAGACGCGAAAGCGUGGGGAGCAAACAGG